CGGACCUCCCUAGAUGGUAAUCUUAAAGUGGCCGAUUUACCCUCUUUCGCUACAGCACCUGCUGCUCUAGCUAAUUGCCCACCCCUUCCACGUGUGAUUUCUAUGUUAUGCAUGGCCGUGCCUAAGGGCAUAUCGGUUGAAGUAGAUUCUUCUUUUCUCUCAAAAAACCCCUUCCCAAACUGUACAAGCUUCUUCCAAAGCAUAUGGCUUUCUAGAUGUAUAUGA
rnacentral:rRNA from 1 species